CUUGACAUCCAGCGAAUUCGGUAGAGAUACCUUAGUGGCCUUCGGGAACGCUGAGACAGGUGCUGCAUGGCUGUCGUCAGCUCGUGUUGUGAAAUGUUGGGUUAAGUCCCGCAACGAGCGCAACCCUUAUCCUUUGUUGCCAGCGGUCCGGCCGGGAACUCAAAGGAGACUGCCAGUGAUAAACUGGAGGAAGUGGGGAUGACGUCAAGUCAUCAUGGCCCUUACGAGUAGGGCUACACACGUGCUACAAUGGCGCAUACAAAGAGAAGCGACCUCGCGAGAGCAAGCGGACCUCAUAAAGUGCGUCGUAGUCCGGAUUGGAGUCUGCAACUCGACUCCAUGAAGUCGGAAUCGCUAGUAAUCGUAGAUCAGAAUGCUACGGUGAAUACGUUCCCGGGCCUUGUACACACCGCCCGUCACACCAUGGGAGUGGGUUGCAAAAGAAGUAGGUAGCUUAACCUUCGGGAGGGCGCUUACCACUUUGUGAUUCAUGACUGGGGUGAAGUCGUAACAAGGUAGGCGUAGACGU
rnacentral:rRNA from 1 species